GACGAACGCUGGCGGCGUGCUUAACACAUGCAAGUCGAACGGAAAGGCCCUGCUUUUGUGGGGUGCUCGAGUGGCGAACGGGUGAGUAACACGUGAGUAACCUGCCCUUGACUUUGGGAUAACUUCAGGAAACUGGGGCUAAUACCGGAUAGGAGCUCCUGCUGCAUGGUGGGGGUUGGAAAGUUUCGGCGGUUGGGGAUGGACUCGCGGCUUGUCAGCUUGUUGGUGGGGUAGUGGCUUACCAAGGCUUUGACGGGUAGCCGGCCUGAGAGGGUGACCGGCACACUGGGGAGAGAGAUACGGCCGGCAGCCCUGGGGAAGAGAGCAGGGGGGGUGAUAGCCUGAUGGAGGGAAGCCGAGUGAGGGAGGGCCGCGUGCGGGUUGGGGGCCUUGGGGUUUAAACCCGCAUGCGCGUGUAGCGAGGGGGGGUUGACGGUAGGGGGAAAAGAAGCGCCGGCUAACUACGUG
rnacentral:rRNA from 1 species